rnacentral:rRNA from 1 species
UACGUAGGGAGCAAGCGUUGUCCGGAAUCAUUGGGCGUAAAGCGCGCGUAGGUGGCUUCGUAAGUCCGUUGUGAAAGUCAAAGGCUCAACCUUUGAAAGCCGAUGGAUACUGCGGAGCUAGAGUACGGAAGAGGCGAGUGGAAUUCCUGGUGUAGCGGUGGAAUGCGCAGAUAUCAGGAGGAACACCAAUAGCGAAGGCAGCUCGCUGGGACGUUACUGACACUGAGGCGCGAAAGCGUGGGGAGCGAACGGA